UGCUGUAAGACUAAAGAAGGAGGAUGGGCCUGCUGUCCUCUAGCACAGGCCGUGUGUUGUGAUGACUUCAUCCACUGCUGUCCUCAUGGUACGACAUGUAACGUUGCUGCCGGGUCAUGUGACGAGUCUUCAGGCUCUGAGCCCUGGUUGGAGAAGCUGCCCGUUAAACCAAUCAGCAAUCAGAAUGUGGCUGUUACACAAGUGUUUUCAGUGCAUUCAAAUGUUUCCUGUGAUGACACCGCAUCCUGUCCAGAUGGAAACACAUGCUGUAAGACUCAAGAAGGAGGAUGGGCCUGCUGUCCUCUAC